rnacentral:rRNA from 1 species
AUUGAACGCUGGCGGCAUGCCUUACACAUGCAAGUCGAACGGCAGCGGGGGAGAAGCUUGCUUUUCCUGCCGGCGAGUGGCGAACGGGUGAGUAAUACAUCGGAACGUGCCCUGUAGUGGGGGAUAACUAGUCGAAAGAUUAGCUAAUACCGCAUACGACCUGAGGGUGAAAGUGGGGGACCGCAUGGCCUCAUGCUAUAGGAGCGGCCGAUGUCUGAUUAGCUAGUUGGUGGGGUAAAGGCCUACCAAGGCGACGAUCAGUAGCUGGUCUGAGAGGACGAUCAGCCACACAGGGACUGAGACACGGCCCAGACUCCUACGGGAGGCAGCAGUGGGGAAUUUUGGACAAUGGGCGAAAGCCUGAUCCAGCAAUGCCGCGUGUGUGAAGAAGGCCUUCGGGUUGUAAAGCACUUUUGUCCGGAUAGAAAUGGCUCUGGUUAAUACCUGGGGUCGAUGACGGUACCGUAAGAAUAAGCACCGGCUAACUACGUGCCAGCAGCCGCGGUAA